rnacentral:tRNA from 2 species
GGCCGUGUAGCUCAAUGGCAGAGCGUCUGACUACGAUGCAGUAUUCUUAAAGUAUUCUUAGCACACGUAAUCAGAAGGUCGCAGGUUCGACCCCUGUCUCGGUCA